UACGGAGGGGGCGAGCGUUAUUCGGAAUUAUUGGGCGUAAAGGGCGCGUAGGCGGCUGUACAAGUCAAAGGUGAAAUCCCUCGGCUCAACUGAGGAACUGCCUUUGAAACUGUACGGCUUGAGGCCGGGAGGGGGUAGCGGAAUUCCCAGUGUAGCGGUGAAAUGCGUAGAUAUUGGGAAGAACACCAGUGGCGUAAGCGAUUCGCUGGGCUGUAACUGACGCUGAGGAACGAAAGCCAGGGUAGCGAAUGGG
rnacentral:rRNA from 1 species